CAGCAGCCGGGUAAUACGUAGGUGGCAAGCGUUGUCCGGAAUUAUUGGGCGUAAAGCGCGCGCAGGCGGAUCAGUCAGUCUGUCUUAAAAGUUCGGGGCUUAACCCCGUGAUGGGAUGGAAACUGCUGAUCUAGAGUAUCGGAGAGGAAAGUGGAAUUCCUAGUGUAGCGGUGAAAUGCGUAGAUAUUAGGAAGAACACCAGUGGCGAAGGCGACUUUCUGGACGAAAACUGGCGCUGAGGCUCGAAAGCCAGGGGAGCGAACGGGAUUAGAUACCCCUGUAGUCCCUGUCUCUUAUACAC
rnacentral:rRNA from 1 species